GGGCCAGUGGUCUAGUGGUAUGAUUCUUCAUUAGGGUUGAAGAGGUCGAGGAUUCGAUUUCCUCCUGGCCCC
rnacentral:tRNA from 1 species